AGUGAACGCUGGCGGUAGGCCUAACACAUGCAAGUCGAACGGCAGCACAGUAAGAGCUUGCUCUUACGGGUGGCGAGUGGCGGACGGGUGAGGAAUACAUCGGAAUCUACUUUUUCGUGGGGGAUAACGUAGGGAAACUUACGCUAAUACCGCAUACGACCUACGGGUGAAAGCAGGGGAUCUUCGGACCUUGCGCGAUUGAAUGAGCUGAUGUCGGAUUAGCUAGUUGGCGAGGUAAAGGCCCACCGAGGCGACGAUCCGUAGCUGGUCUGAGAGGAUGAUCAGCCACACUGGAACUGAGACACGGUCCAGACUCCUACGGGAGGCAGCAGUGGGGAAUAUUGGACAAUGGGCGCAAGCCUGAUCCAGCCAUACCGCGUGAGUGAAGAAGGCCUUCGGGUUGUAAAGCCCUUUUGUUGGGAAAGAAAAGCAGCAGGUGAAUACCCCGCUGUUCUGACGGUACCCAAAGAAUAAGCACCGGCUAACUUCGUG
rnacentral:rRNA from 1 species